GGCUUGUCCGAUGGUAGUGGUUUAUCAGAACUUAUUAACAUUAGUGUCACUAAAGUUGGUAUAUAACCCCCCACUGCUAAAUUAGACUGGCUUAAA
ensembl:misc_RNA Y_RNA Y RNA